rnacentral:rRNA from 2 species
GAUCCUGGCUCAGGACGAACGCUGGCGGCGUGCCUAAUACAUGCAAGUCGAACGCUUCUUUCCUCCCGAGUGCUUGCACUCAAUUGGAAAGAGGAGUGGCGGACGGGUGAGUAACACGUGGGUAACCUACCCAUCAGAGGGGGAUAACACUUGGAAACAGGUGCUAAUACCGCAUAACAGUUUAUGCCGCAUGGCAUAAGAGUGAAAGGCGCUUUCGGGUGUCGCUGAUGGAUGGACCCGCGGUGCAUUAGCUAGUUGGUGAGGUAACGGCUCACCAAGGCCACGAUGCAUAGCCGACCUGAGAGGGUGAUCGGCCACACUGGGACUGAGACACGGCCCAGACUCCUACGGGAGGCAGCAGUAGGGAAUCUUCGGCAAUGGACGAAAGUCUGACCGAGCAACGCCGCGUGAGUGAAGAAGGUUUUCGGAUCGUAAAACUCUGUUGUUAGAGAAGAACAAGGACGUUAGUAACUGAACGUCCCCUGACGGUAUCUAACCAGAAAGCCACGGCUAACUACGUGCCAGCAGCCGCGGUAAUACGUAGGUGGCAAGCGUUGUCCGGAUUUAUUGGGCGUAAAGCGAGCGCAGGCGGUUUCUUAAGUCUGAUGUGAAAGCCCCCGGCUCAACCGGGGAGGGUCAUUGGAAACUGGGAGACUUGAGUGCAGAAGAGGAGAGUGGAAUUCCAUGUGUAGCGGUGAAAUGCGUAGAUAUAUGGAGGAACACCAGUGGCGAAGGCGGCUCUCUGGUCUGUAACUGACGCUGAGGCUCGAAAGCGUGGGGAGCAAACAGGAUUAGAUACCCUGGUAGUCCACGCCGUAAACGAUGAGUGCUAAGUGUUGGAGGGUUUCCGCCCUUCAGUGCUGCAGCAAACGCAUUAAGCACUCCGCCUGGGGAGUACGACCGCAAGGUUGAAACUCAAAGGAAUUGACGGGGGCCCGCACAAGCGGUGGAGCAUGUGGUUUAAUUCGA